rnacentral:rRNA from 1 species
AGUUUUUCUUGGUGUAUAAAAGCAGUUUACAACCCAUAGGGCCGUCAUCCUGCACGCGGGAUGGCUGGUUCAGGCUUGCGCCCAUUGACCAAUAUUCCUCACUGCUGCCUCCCGUAG